rnacentral:rRNA from 1 species
GGAAUUGCUAGUAAUGGCAGGUCAGCAUACUGCCGUGAAUACGUUCCCGGGCCUUGUACACACCGCCCGUCACACCAUGAGAGUUGGGAAUACCCGAAGCCUGUGAGCUAACUUAUAGAGGCAGCAGUCGAAGGUAGAAUCAAUGAUUGGGGUGAAGUCGUAACAAGGUAUC